rnacentral:misc_RNA from 1 species
GAUUAAGAACGCAGCGAAAUGCGAUACGUAAUGUGAAUUGCAGAAUUCAGUGAAUCAUCGAAUCUUUGAACGCAUAUUGCGCUCUCUGGUAUUCCGGAGAGCAUGCUUGUUUGAGUAUCAGUAAACACCUCAACUUCCAUAUCUUUUUUGAAAUGGGAGUUGGACUUGAGUGAUCCCAACGCUUUUCCUCACCGAAAAGUGGCGGGUUACUUGAAAUGCAGGUGCAGCUGGACUUUUCUCUGAGCUAUAAGCAUAUCUAUUUAGUCUGCCUAAAAAACAGAUUAUUACCUUUGCUGCAGCUAACAUAAAGGAGAUUAGUUCUUGUGCUGACUGAUGCAGGAUUCACAAAGACGGCUUCGGCCGACUUUGUAAACUCGAUCUCAAAUCAAGUAAGACUACCCGCUGAACUUAAGCAUAUCAAUAAGCGGAGGA